UACGCUGAUUCCUACUCUGUACCACGUAAGUAGCUCCUCAAUCCUCAGUAGGGUAGCGCUCUAAGCUUCUCCCUUUUGUCAUCAAUGGCAAUCGGACCCAAGAUCUCUUCUCGGUGCCCUAUCCCCGACUCGCCUACCGCCUACUCCAGCAUCCCUUCCAAGGAGGAUUCGGCCUCGGAGCAGCAAGGAAAAGUUGCUACUAAAUCAGUUGAUGCAAAAGGAAGAAACUCUAAUGGAGGCAUUGCAAAAUCUAUAUGGCCUCCUUUUCUGUGUUGUUAAAGGCGCGCCCGAGACGUUAGGCGCAUGAGGCGCCGGGAAAAAAGCCUUUUCCCACGCGAGGCGGGCGAUGUUCGUCAGGCGCGUGCCUAGGGCGCCUUCGCACCUCAACGGAGGCGCGAUCGUAGGCACGAUCAUGAUCAAUAUCUAGAUUCUUAAAAAAAAAACAUGAAUUAGGGCAUGGGGAGAAUAAAAGAACACAAGAAGGGAAGAAGAGAACGCAAGAAGAAGAAGAAAGGGAUAAAAGAGAACGCAAGAACUAAGACGAAGAAGAAACUUGAACCGUUCGCCGUCGCCGUUGCUGAGUCGUGUCGUUGCCCAGCCCAGGUAACAGGUAGAUGAUUGAGAAGUUGCUUGGAGAGAUACCGGCUGUCAGUCCCACGUCACACUCGACAACAGUUACUUUUUGAUCUUAUUUCUAUUUGGUAUUAUAGUGGUUUUGUGCAUUUUGUUUUUCAAUAAGUCGAUGUGGAUUUUGGGGUCUAGUGUGCCGGAUUGCAGGUAUUUUAUUAGUGUCGUCAUUGGUCUUAUGUUCGUAUGAUUUUGUGUUUUCCGUUGUGCAUGUUUACUUUCAGCCGUGUAGGCUUAUUAAACUGUGUGGUUGUGUUUAUUUUGUUCCAGUCGAGUAGAUUGAUGAUAUAAACUGCGUGGUUGUGUAUAUAUUCCAGCCGUAUGUGGCUAAUGUAUAUUUUGUAUGUAGUAAUACUUCAGAUUGUCACCCGUACAGGGGAAAUGUUGUCGGAUUUUUGUCUGACAGUGACUCCUCUAGGGUGUGACAGUGCAGGAGAGCAAAUGUUGUUAAAGUUGUUACGGAUAAUGCAAGUAACAAUGUACUUGAUGGAAAAUUAUUAGAAGCAAAAAGGCCACACUUGUAUUGGACUCCUUGUGCUGCUCACUGCGUCGACUUGAUCUUAAAAGAUAUUGGGAAAUUGCUUGAUUUUAAAGCAACAUUGAAGAAGACAACGAGUGUAAAUGUUUACAUUUAUGUUCACCCAAGCAUGGUAAAUAUGUUGAGGCAAUUCACAAGACAAAAAGAGCUUUGUCGGGCGGAUGUCACAAGAUUUGCUACUGCUUUUCUCACUUUUGAAAUGAUGCACCUACAAAAGCAAAAUUUAAGAAAAAUGUUCAUUUCAAAGGAUUGGACAGAGUAAAUGGACAAAAGAAGCGGCGGGGAAAAAGGUAACUAAAAUCAUCAUGACACUUAAAUUUUGGAGCAGUGUUGUGCAUAUUUUAAAGAUAUAUGGCCCUUUAGUUCGUGUUCUGAGAUUGGUUGAUGGGAAAAGAAAACCUGCAAUGACUAUAUUUAUGAGGCUAUGGAUAGGGCAAAAGAAAUAAUUAUGAAGGCCUUUAAGGAGAAAGAAGAGAAAUACAAAGAAGUGUUUGAGAUCAUUGAUACGAGAUGAGAAUGCCAACUUCAUCAGCCUUUGCAUGCUGCAGAACAUUAUUUGAAUCCAGAAUAUUUUUACUCAUACACAGAUUCAAAUAUCUAUAGAGAAGUGGAUGGUUUAUUUGAAACUAUAGAGAGAUUGGUUUCAACCGCUGCUGAGCAAGAUAAAAUUACUACCCAACUCUCUAUAUAUCGAAAGGCAGAAGAGCUAUUUGGGAGGAAUGUGGCAAUUAGACACAGAAGAGCAUUAUCUCCAGCAGAAUGGUGAGAAUGCUACGGAGCAAAUACCCCAGAAUUGCAAAAGUUUGCUAUUAAAGUGCUUAGCCUCACUUGUAGUGCUUCCGGCUGUGAACACAAUUGGAGUGUGUUUGAGCAUGUAUGUAAUAAAUAUAAAUAUAUAAUACUAUUAGUAUGUUACUUUUAUAAGUAGAAAAUAUUCUUUGUUAUUUUAUUAUACUUAUUGUGAUUUUUGACAUUUUGUAGAUUCACAUAAAAAAAAGAAGGAAUUGACUAGCUCAACAACACUUAAAUGAUUUGGUGUUUGUGAAAUACAAUUGUGCCUUAAAACUUUGGUAUGAUGCACGUGAUAGGAUUGACCCCAUCUCGUUGGCAGAUAUUGAUGAUAGUAAUGAAUGGUUGAUGGGUAGAAUGGAUGGAGAAAGUGAUAAUGAAGAAGAUGAGUUGGUUUUUGAAGGUGAUGACUUGAUAUGGGAUGUCGUUGCUAGGGCUAGUGGAGCUGAAGAACCUGAAUAUUGUACUAGAGGAAAAAGCAUUGCAUCCCUGGCCUCUUCUUCACAUGCUAGGCCUAAACAAGUCGAGAAGGAAAAUACAUCUUCCUCUAUGAGACACUCAUCUCUAAGACUUAGAGAUGAAGAAGAAGAAGAAGAAAUUGAAUUUGAAGAAGAUGGAGAUAAAGAAGAAGAAUACAAUGAGGAUGAUUUUGAGCUUGAUGAUUAAUUUGACUUAUUGCGCUUGUUUUGAUGAACUUCGUUAGUUUAGAUUAGAAAGUUGAAACUUGAAAGUUUAAAACUUUUAUUAAUUUUAUCAUGAUGUUAUUUUGCUUGUUAUAUUUGAUAUUUGUGUGUAUGGAAUAUUAAUAGUUAUCAUUUUGACAUAUCAUAUGAGUGUGUCAAUAGUUAGUAAUCACCCUCAUGUUCAAGAGGCGCGCCAAUUUAAUAAUCAACCUCAUGUUCAAGAAGCGCGUGCCUCGGGUGCACCUCGCACCUCGGGCUCUAGGAGUCCUUUUGCGCCUCGGUGCGCCUCGUGCCUCUAACAACACUGCUCCUUUUAUAGAUGAACUUGUUCUUAUAAGAUCCAUUAAAUUCGGGAUAAACUUUCCUACUUCAGUCUUACGGAUAAUUCUGUACAGAAAACUAAUUAAAUAAUUCAGAUUUUAUUCGUUGCUUCGGUUCAGUCUGUUUUGGUUCGAUCCGAUUCGAUUCACUUCAUCCACUUGAGGUGCCUCCCAUCAUAGAGCAACACAACAAUCUUCCGGAGGUCAUAUCUUUUGACUCCGAAAUCGGAAUCAAUCUCUGUUAGUGGCUACGCGUACAGAAUUUGAAGAUCUGCAUAUUUAGCUACUUAGAAAAAUAUAUGCACAAACAAUUUAUUUAUGAGUUAGAUCCUGUCUUAUCAAAACCAGGAUCUAGUCAUGGUUUCAACUUAGACUUCCAAAAUGAUCUAAGUUGUACCACCAUCUACAGUCCCACUAGGACUCGUCUUCACUAGAUCACUCUCCUCCAGUUUACUUACCUCACUUACCAUUUACAGUCUCUUGACUUGUCUCUUAACCCACUAGGCGUCGGCCAAUUGUAUGGAAUCGAACAUCCCGACUGGAUUUCAGCCAGCUGUCGGGUCCCGCAAACCCAGCUGGACUUUCUGCCAGAAUCGUACAUUCGGGCUUCAUUUUGGUGUCAAGUCUUCUAGACCCGUCAAUUCUUGCACACUCGGUAAAAAAAUUAGACAAACAUAACAUCUAACUUUAAAUCAUUUGUUAUUUAUCAAAAACUGAGUUUGACCAUUAGUGCUAAUUGCACCAACAAUUAAGACUUUCCUUUGCUAAUGUGUGGUCCUUCUUGAUUCACUUGGACUUUCCUUUGCCUAAUCGCAGUUAGAACUUCCUUUUGUCUAACCUCCAGUAGGACUUUACCCUUAUCUAACCCUCGGAUUAGGACUUUACCUUGCCUAACCUCUAGUUACUUUUUCCUUAUCUAACCUUUGAGUUAGGAUUUUGUCCUUGCCUAACCUCCAAUUUUGACUUUCCCAGUUAAGUAUCCGGUCCUUCAUGACCUACUUGACUUUUCUUUCACACAUUGUCAAUUAUCCGGUCAACCUUGACCUCGUUUCAAAUAUUGUUCAAAUAUUAAAACUCAAGCUCGAAUUUACUCAAGCUUAGUCAAACUGUUCAACUUUAACUCGAGAAUGAUUGCACCAAUAAUCUUCCCAGAAGUUGUUACUUUGUUGGAUGGACUAUUCUAUUUCUUAGUUUGUACGUAUAAGAAAAGACCGUCCUUUUACGAGCACGGACCUUUGCGAAUCCCAAUUAUCCGACAUACUUGACUUUUCUUUCCACAGUCAAAACCCUCCCCCUUGGUUACGAAGUAUUUCUGUGUAAUGUCCUUUCUUACCAGUUGCAAAACUGCUUUACUAGCAUCCUUACAAAAU